UGUAGAAAUACGACAGAGAGAUUCCUGAUCUGAUGGUGGUUGCUGGAGUUUCUUAGUUCUGAGCCACAACAUCUGUUUCCUUUUGCAGAGUCGUUGGAGCAGUCAGAUUCUCCUUUUAUUUGGGGCAUGACCAAUUCUGGCAUAAACAGUUCCAGCACCACCUUUGAACAGAAGAAUUGCUUGCCUUCGAGAGUUCGUGCCCCUGAGUCCUUCCCGUACGCCAUGUCAUGGAAAGACUGUAAGUACUCUGUGUGUGGCUUUGGCUCUGUGACUUCUGCACCCGGUGGCAGCUGCUGGAGAGAGUUUAUAACACCUGCCUCCUUCACAGCACCUUCUGAGGGACUCAGAUGCUUGGAUCAUCCUCUGAAUCCUUGCUUUGAAGCAUCCUCUAUAUUCUUUAUUUCAUAUUCUUAGCAGGUCCUUCUUCACAGUGGUCUAACUUAAGCAGCCUGGUCCCCAGUCACUUGGGCUCUGUCUCUCUAAACAAGUCCUUCUACACCAUCCUCAACAACCCCUUUCACCACCACCACCUUAAACCAAAUGAUUUCCUUGCUUUGUGCAUCUCUGCUCACUGCCGGAUGCAGCUAAAUCAGAGCAGGGGUAAAACUGGGGCUGCUGAAACCAGCGCUUCUGGGGAAGAACCUAUCAAACUACAUCUGGAGGUGGGAGGGAGCUUCCCCAGUUGAAGCAUCUGAUGCUGAAACCAGACCAUUAUUUGCCAGCAGCAGCAAAGCAGAAGCUUAAAGGUGGUUUGAGGAAUGACCAUCUUGUUUCCUGCUGAGAGCAGCUAAACCUAGUCCUCCAGGGCUUUGCGGGAAUGAAUCCUGCACGCUCCAGUGAUGCUUCAGUUGCCACAGGGUUGGGCUGAAUCUGCCAAACCAAAUGAAAAUGUCACCUGUAGAUAAGCAUCGUUGCCAAGGUGACAAGCGCUGCUUCAGCAAAGGCCACUCUCACUUCGGGGAGCGGAGGAAAUUCUUGUCUUUUUCUCCAUCUCAUGCUAAAAACAUGUCUCAUCCUUGUCAGAGUUUGGGGUAUUAGUGUCUCUUCCCCCUGGAAGUUCAUUGCCUUUUUAGGACCCAAGAGCUCCUGUGGAUGGUAGAUGUUCCCUGAACCUGAUGACAGGACUCUGUAGACUUGGCUCUUCCUCCAUGACGUGUUUUUGCAACACUUUAAU
rnacentral:lncRNA from 1 species